CCCUCUGGUGCCUAGAGAGGCUAUAAGACAGACUUGGGGCAGCCCAGCCCCAGCUGUGGGGGCCUGAGGAGGCAGAGUUCUUGGGGGUGUCUGCACCAUGGCCUGGAUUCCUCUCCUCCUCUCCUUCCUCACUGUCUGCACAGGUUCUCUGGCCUCCUAUGUGCUGACCCAGCAGCCCUCCUUGUCUGUGACCCUGGGGCAGACAGCCAGCCUCACCUGUGCCGGGGAUCAGCUGGAUAAACAAUAUGCUUAUUGGUACCAGCAGAAAGGGAGCCAGACUCCUGUGCUAGUCAUUUACAAGGACAAGGAGCGGCCAGAGGGGAUCUCUGAGAGAUUCUCCGGCUCCAGCAGCAACAACGUGGCCACUCUAACCAUCUCCCGGGUCCAGGCUGAGGAUGAGGCCGAUUACUACUGUCUGUCCUUUGACGAUAAUACCAAAGCUCACAGUGAAUGA